rnacentral:rRNA from 1 species
CACCCUGUGACAUACCUAUAACGUUGCCUCGGCGGGAACAGACGGCCCCGUAACACGGGCCGCCCCCGCCAGAGGACCCCCUAACUCUGUUUCUAUAAUGUUUCUUCUGAGUAAACAAGCAAAUAAAUUAAAACUUUCAACAACGGAUCUCUUGGCUCUGGCAUCGAUGAAGAACGCAGCGAAAUGCGAUAAGUAAUGUGAAUUGCAGAAUUCAGUGAAUCAUCGAAUCUUUGAACGCACAUUGCGCCCGCCAGUAUUCUGGCGGGCAUGCCUGUUCGAGCGUCAUUACAACCCUCAGGCCCCCGGGCCUGGCGUUGGGGAUCGGCGGAAGCCCCCUGCGGGCACAACGCCGUCCCCCAAAUACAGUGGCGGUCCCGCCGCAGCUUCCAUUGCGUAGUAGCUAACACCUCGCAACUGGAGAGCGGCGCGGCCACGCCGUAAAACACCCAACUUCUGAAUGUUGACCUCGAAUCAGGUAGGAAUACCCGCUGAACUUAAGCAU